AUACGUAGGGAGCGAGCGUUGUCCGGCAUUACUGGGUGUAAAGGGAGCGUAGGCGGGAUGGCAAGUCAGAUGUGAAAACUAUGGGCUCAACCCAUAGGCUGCAUUUGAAACUGUUGUUCUUGGGUGAAGUGGAGGUAAGCGGAAUUCCUGGCGGAGCGGUGAAAUGCGUAGAUAACAGGAGGAACAUCGGUGGCGAAGGCGGCUUACUGGGCUUUUACUGACGCUGAGGCUCGAAAGCGUGGGGAGCAAACAGGAUUAGAUCCCCUGGUAGUCCACGCUGUAAACGAUGAUUACUAGGUGUGGGGGGACUGACCCCUUCCGUGCCGCAGUUAACACAAUAAGUAAUCCGCCUGGGGAGUACGGCCGCAAGGUUGAAACUCAAAGGAAUUGACGGGG
rnacentral:rRNA from 1 species